AGCCAAUGAGGGGUGAGAGCUUGGUGAGCAAGCACCAAUGAGGCCACUUUUUCAUCUGUAUAAAACUUUUCAGGAGAGUUUGCUGGGUUGCACUUUCUGUCAGUCCAGGGCUCCGAAAGGAGAGCAACAGCCCAGAGAGAGAGAAAGAGAGAGAGAGAGAGAGAGAGGGGGUAGAGAGAGAGUAAGUGUGAACGCAGGGGGUUGCCAGUUUUUAAACCCUAAUACCACACUUCAAGAAAGUGCCUCUCCGUUUCAGCAAGGAUGGAGAACGCACACAUGAAAGAGUCACCAGAGGUUCUGUCCUACUUUGGUGUCACUGAAGAAACCGGCCUUUCCCCUGAGCAGUUCAAGAAGAACCUGGAAAAGUAUGGCUUCAACGAGCUGCCAGCGGAGGAGGGAAAGACUAUCUGGGAGUUGGUGGUGGAACAGUUCGAGGACCUGUUGGUCAGAAUCUUACUGCUGGCCGCCUGCAUCUCUUUUGUACUGGCUUUGUUCGAGGAAGGUGAGGAGACCGUCACUGCCUUUGUCGAGCCCUUAGUCAUCCUCCUCAUCCUCAUUGCAAAUGCUAUCGUUGGAGUGUGGCAGGAGCGCAAUGCAGAGAGUGCCAUUGAGGCUCUGAAGGAAUACGAGCCUGAGAUGGGGAAAGUUUACCGGUCGGACAGGAAGAGCGUGCAGAGAAUCAAGGCCAGGGAGAUUGUUCCUGGUGAUGUGGUGGAGGUUUCCGUUGGUGACAAAGUGCCAGCUGACAUCAGGCUUAUCUCCAUCAAAUCUACAACCCUGCGUGUGGACCAGUCUAUUCUUACUGGUGAGUCUGUCAGUGUGAUUAAACACACUGAUGCCGUCCCAGACCCCCGAGCUGUUAACCAGGACAAGAAGAACAUGCUGUUCUCCGGCACCAACAUCGCUGCAGGAAGAGCCACUGGUAUUGCUGUUGCAACUGGUGUCUCCACUGAGAUUGGUAAGAUUCGUGACCAGAUGGCUGCCACUGAGCAGGAGAAGACCCCUCUGCAGCAGAAACUGGACGAGUUUGGAGAGCAGCUCUCCAAGGUCAUCUCCCUCAUCUGUGUGGCUGUGUGGAUGAUCAACAUUGGCCAUUUCAAUGACCCCGUCCACGGAGGCUCCUGGAUCCGCGGUGCUGUCUACUAUUUCAAGAUUGCUGUGGCUCUGGCUGUGGCUGCCAUCCCUGAAGGUCUGCCUGCUGUCAUCACCACCUGCCUGGCUCUGGGAACCCGUCGCAUGGCCAAGAAGAACGCCAUCGUUAGAAGCCUGCCCUCUGUGGAGACCCUGGGCUGCACCUCGGUCAUCUGCUCUGACAAGACCGGUACCCUCACCACCAACCAGAUGUGUGUAACUAAGAUGUUCAUCAUUGAUAAAGUCGAUGGUGACAAUGUUUCCCUCAGUCAGUUUGACAUCUCAGGCUCAAAGUACACCCCCGAGGGAGAAGUUACAAAGAAUGGCUCAUUGACGAAGUGCGGUCAGUAUGACGGACUGGUCGAGCUGGCUACCAUCUGUGCUCUUUGCAAUGACUCUUCCCUGGACUACAACGAGUCCAAGGGUAUUUAUGAAAAAGUGGGCGAGGCCACUGAAACAGCACUGUCCUGUUUGGUGGAGAAGAUGAACGUGUUCAACAGUGAAGUGCGUGGCCUGUCCAAGGUGGAAAGGGCAAAUGCUUGCUGUUCUGUGAUCAAGCAGCUGAUGAAGAAGGAGUUCACCCUGGAGUUCUCCAGAGACAGAAAGUCCAUGUCAGUUUACUGCUGUCCUGCCAAAUCCGCCAAAGCCCCUGUGGGAAACAAGAUGUUUAUCAAAGGUGCUCCAGAAGGUGUCAUUGAUCGUUGCACGUACGUCCGUGUGGGCACCACCCGUGUACCUCUGACUGACCCGAUCAGAGACCACAUCAUGUCAGUCAUCAAGGAGUGGGGCACUGGACGUGACACCCUCCGCUGUCUGGCACUGGCCACCCGCGACUCACCUCUAAGGAAGGAGGAGAUGAACCUGGUGGACGCCACCAAGUUUGUAGACUAUGAGACUGAUUUGACCUUUGUGGGCUGCGUUGGCAUGCUGGACCCUCCCCGUAAGGAAGUCAUGGGUUCCAUCGAGCUGUGCAGGGCUGCUGGCAUCCGUGUCAUCAUGAUCACUGGUGACAACAAAGGCACAGCUGUGGCCAUCUGCCGUCGUAUUGGCAUCUUCACUGAGGAUGAGGAUGUCACUAACAAGGCCUUCACCGGUCGUGAGUUUGAUGACCUCGCUCUACACGAUCAAAAGGUCGCCGUCAGAAAGGCCUGCUGCUUCGCCAGAGUGGAGCCGUCCCACAAGUCUAAGAUCGUUGAAUUACUGCAAGGCUUUGAUGAGAUUACCGCCAUGACUGGUGACGGAGUGAACGAUGCCCCCGCCUUGAAGAAGGCGGAGAUUGGCAUCGCCAUGGGCUCUGGCACUGCCGUUGCCAAGUCUGCCUCUGAGAUGGUCCUGGCUGACGACAACUUCUCCUCCAUUGUGUCCGCUGUUGAGGAGGGCAGAGCCAUUUACAACAACAUGAAGCAGUUCAUCCGCUACCUCAUCUCCUCCAAUGUAGGCGAGGUCGUCUGUAUCUUUCUGACCGCUGCCCUUGGUCUGCCUGAGGCUCUGAUCCCCGUCCAGCUGCUGUGGGUCAACCUUGUGACUGACGGUCUGCCUGCCACUGCGCUGGGCUUCAACCCCCCUGACCUAGACAUCAUGGGCAAAGCCCCCCGCUCCCCCAAAGAGCCCCUCAUCUCUGGCUGGCUCUUCUUCAGAUAUAUGGCCAUCGGAGGUUAUGUUGGUGCUGCAACUGUCGCAGCAGCUGCCUGGUGGUUCCUGUACUGUGAUGAAGGCCCAUCGGUUAGCUUCUACCAGCUGUCACACUUCAUGCAAUGCAGCGAGGACAAUGAGGACUUUGCUGGCAUUCACUGCGAGGUGUUUGAGGCUUCUCCCCCAAUGACCAUGGCUCUGUCUGUGCUGGUCACCAUUGAGAUGUGCAACGCUCUGAACAGCUUGUCUGAGAACCAGUCCCUGGUGCGCAUGCCCCCCUGGAGCAACCUCUGGCUGGUGGGCGCCAUGACCCUCUCCAUGUCCCUUCACUUCAUGAUCAUCUACGUCGACCCCCUGCCCAUGAUCUUCAAGCUCACUCACUUGAACUUAGAGCAGUGGAUGAUGGUCCUGAAGCUCUCCUUCCCAGUCAUCCUCAUUGAUGAGUUUCUCAAGUUUGUGGCUCGCACAUAUCCGGAGGUUUUAAUGAUCUCCUACCCUCUGUCCUCUGUUCUCUGAUGACAUUUAUCUAACUUUGCUCUCCUUGGAUGCUCUUUUUCACCAUUCCUUCUCUGACAAUCCAGUCUAAACCUGUUUCCCCCUCCUCCAUACCCUUGUAACAAACCAAGGGAAAGUUUAGAGGCAAAGUGCGACAGAGAGCGGCUGAAGCAGAGAAAGCUGAGACACAGAGGAUGGAGAGAAAAGGCUGAGCUCCCACUGAAAGAGAGCCUGCCAACAGUCACCCGAUGUGAUCAAAACAUCUAGUGGCAUGAAUACAAAAGAAAACACAUAAGCCAUCUGAAAAUACACCAGAGGAAAGCUGCAAAAUAUUUUUUUCUGUGUAUGUACUGAAGUUAAUAUAUAGGUGAGUUAUUAAAACUAUUCUGUUGAUUCUAUUCUUAAAGAAUAAAGAUAUGUAUUAAAGAAAA